rnacentral:rRNA from 1 species
UACGUAGGGGGCAAGCGUUGUCCGGAUUUAUUGGGCGUAAAGCGCGCGCAGGCGGCCACGUAAGUCGGAUGUGAAAUCCCGGGGCUCAACCCCGGAACUGCAUUCGAUACUGCGUGGCUCGAGGUAGGUAGGGGAGAUCGGAAUUCCUGGUGUAGCGGUGGAAUGCGCAGAUAUCAGGAGGAACACCGGUGGCGAAGGCGGAUCUCUGGGCCUUACCUGACGCUCAGGCGCGAAAGCUAGGGGAGCGAACAGG